rnacentral:rRNA from 1 species
GAAAUUUCAUCCGCACUAGUGAUAGCUAGUUUCCCUGGAAAGAUAUAAAAGUGUCCCGAAAAGUUUAAUUUAUAAUAUUAAUUAUUAUAUAUAUACCCUUUUUUAUUAAUUUUUUGGAGGAUAAGCCCAGAGAAAAGUUAAGAUAUUCUUCGCUAAAAUUACUAUGUGGGCUUCCAAUUGGCCACCACCAAAAGUUUGUUAUAAAAUAGUAAUCUUCACUUCGAAAAUAAAUAUAUUUUAAUCUAAAUUAUUACAGGGAUAAGAACUUUAAUUAAAAUAAGUUUUAUGCCUAUGCUAGAAUGAGUAUUAAAACCUAAUUAUAAAAGAAGCAUUAGUUUAAUUUUUCUUCAAAAAAUCAAAUCAAAAAAAAUUAAUUAAUUAGAAGGAAUUCAGCAAGUUUAGUUGUCCGCCUGUUUAUCAAAAACAUGGCUCUUUGCUUAUAUAAAUAUAAAGAGUCGAGCCGGCCC